AUGCUCCGUCAGGUCGCAGCCGAACGCGCUCGCGGCUCCCUUCCUCUUGAGCUUCUGCUUGGCUCCCUUGUUCUUCAUGAGACCACCGCCCGUGUCCCGCUUCCAGGGGGUAGCAUCGGGGGUCCCGUGCGGCGUCCGGCUGGAGAAAUCAACAUUAAUCCCCACCAGAUGUUGGGCUGCUCCGGCAGCAGGGGAAGGUCAGGGUGCGAGGAGGCUCCCCAGCCGGCAGCAGCAGCGAUCAUAGCCCGAGCCCGGAAGGCUUCGCAUCGAGGGGAAGCCCGUGGUGAACGGGUGCCAGCAUCCGAGCUGUCGAGAUGGUGCUGGUGGUGGUGGUGGUGGUGGGGACGCCUGUUCCUCAGCGCUGUCCCGGGACCCUUCACGGCCACCCUUCUGGGUUUCGUCAGCCGGGCUGUCGCCGCCACCAGCCGCAGGCGUCCUGCUCUGGGCUUCCUUCUCCCAGCUUUCGGAGGAGAGUGGGAGCUCCAGCGGGCUGGUGGAAAGGGACUGGGGAAGAGCCUGUGCGAGGCUCCUCGCUGGCUCCCCCCCUUCCCCUCCUCCUGCCGUCGUCGGACAGCGAGAGGAAUGAGAAACCAGCUUCCUGUCCUGACUCCCUCGCCCGCUCUCCCUCCUUUCCCCCCCUUUGACAAAUCCUAGGAUUAUCCAGCUCAAAAAAAUGCUGAAAGGAAGUUAGCCGAGGAGGAGCUCUGUGUGUGUGUGUGUGUGUGGAGGGGGGUGUAAGGGGGGGGUUGGACUUUUUUUUGGCAGUAAAUUGCGUUUGUGCGCAAGAGGCUGAGGGGAGGCGGAGAGAGGAGUUUGGGGGACGGGGGGGAGGAAGAGGGGAAGCCUUCCCUGCCCGUGGGCAGAUAACGGGCCGCCAGAGGAAAUCACGGCUCUCCCAGCCCUGUGGUCGGGCGCUUCCUGCGCUGCCAGGGCUCAGCCCUGGAAAGGCCCGAGGAAGGGCCAGAGAAGGAGGAGGGAGGCCAGGAGCUGCUCCAGGAGGUCUCUGCCUCUGCUGGCUGGUUCCUCCAUCCCAAGGCAUCCCUCCACCGUGGCUCUGUCCCCUCAGGGGCAUGGGCUGGGGCUGGCAAAGCAUGAGACAGGGGCAGAAAGUUGGGAAACUGAAGAGGGGGGAGGCGGGAAGCCCUCAGCUCCCUCCUCCCCGGCUCCCCGCCCAGCAAGCAGAAACAGAUGCCAUCCGGGCACUGAGGUUCCCGUGCUGUGAAGUCAGAUCCCAGAAAAGGCUGCCCUCUGCCAAAGAAAGGGUUAGGAGGCAAGGGACAGCAAUCCCCCAGUGGAGGCAAGAAAGAAAAUUGGAUGGGCUUUCCCUCAGCCUCAAUACCUGCCCUCCACCAACACCUCUCUACCCUACCCUACAUGCAUCUCUGCUCAUGAGGGCCCCUUCUCUUGCCCCUUCUCCACAUUUUUUAUUCCAGAAACUCAGGCCUCCUUCCAGAGCUGGGAAUGCCUGUGGGCUACACGCUUCUUUGCAGGAGGCAAGCUUAGCUCUGCCAACACUUCACUGACACCUCUUGCCACACGCCACUUGUCAGUCCGUGGGUCUCAGUGAAAAAUAAACAAACAAGCGAAAACUGGACCUUGCAGCUUUUCACCAAAAAUGAGUCAUAUU
rnacentral:lncRNA from 1 species